UACGUAGGGUCCGAGCGUUAAUCGGAAUUACUGGGCGUAAAGCGUGCGCAGGCGGUUUUGUAAGCCAGAUGUGAAAUCCCCGGGCUCAACCUGGGAACUGCAUUUGGGACUGCAAGGCUUGAGUACGGCAGAGGGGGGUAGAAUUCCUGGUGUAGCAGUGAAAUGCGUAGAGAUGUGGAGGAAUACCGAUGGCGAAGGCAGCCCCCUGGGAUAACACUGACGCUCAUGCACGAAAGCGUGGGGAGCAAACAGG
rnacentral:rRNA from 1 species